rnacentral:rRNA from 1 species
AACGAACGCUGGCGGCAUGCCUAACACAUGCAAGUCGAACGGGACCUUCGGGUUUAGUGGCGCACGGGUGCGUACCGCGUGGGAACUUGCCCUUAGGUUCGGAAUCCCUCCCUGUAAGGGGUGCUAAUACCGGUUAAUGUCUUCGGACCAAAGAUUUAUCGCCUUUGGAUGGGGCCGCGUUGGAUUAGCUGGUUGGUAGGGUAAUAGCCUGCCAACGCGACGUUCCAUGGCUGGUCGGAGAAGAUGAUCAGCUACACUGGAACUGAGACACGGCCCAGAAUCCGACGGGAGGCAGCAGUGGGGAAUAUUGGACGAUGGGCGAAAGCCUGAUCCAGCAAUGCCGCGUGAGUGAUGAAGGCCGUAGGGUUGUAAAGCUCUUUUACCCGGGAUGAUAAUGACAGUACCGGGAGAAGAAGCUCCGGCUAACUCCGUG